CCUACGGGUGGCUGCAGUGAGGAAUAUUGGUCAAUGGACGAGAGUCUGAACCAGCCAAGUAGCGUGAAGGAUGACUGCCCUAGGGGUUGUAAACUUCUUUUAUAUGGGAAUAAAAUGUUCCACGUGUGGGUUUUUGUAUGUACCAUAUGAAUAAGGAUCGGCUAACUCCGUGCCAGCAGCCGCGGUAAUACGGAGGAUCCGAGCGUUAGCCGGAUUUAUUGGGUUUAAAGGGAGCGUAGGUGGAUUGUUAAGUUAGUUGUGAAAGUUUGCGGCUCAACCGUAAAAUUGCAGUUGAAACUGGCAGUCUUGAGGACAGUAGAGGUGGGCGGAAUUCGUGGUGUAGCGGUGAAAUGCUUAGAUAUCACGAAGAACUCCGAUUGCGAAGGCAGCUCACUGGACUGCAACUGACACUGAGGCUCGAAAGUGUGGGUAUCAAACAGGAUUAGAUACCCGAGUAGUC
rnacentral:rRNA from 1 species